UAUAUUUUUUUAAAAUUUUAUGUUCUUUGAUUUUUGUUACUAUUUUUAUGCAUUUUUUUGAUUAGUUUUUUUUUCCUCUUUGUAUUUCUUCCUGUUAAUGGUGAAUAAACUGAAAGUUGAUUUUUUGAAAUUUUGAUAUUGCAGAUUUAAAAUGCUCGAUUUGCCUAGAGUUCAGGUGGCAAGGAAGCUUUGAUUUUGAUGCCCAGAGUUAGAAAGCCUAAUUAUACCUUUGUGUAAGAGAGAUACUGCUCUUCGUUUCCUGUUGCAAUACUUACCAGAAUAUGCAAAUCCAAGGUUAUUCUUCUGUGCUCAACAGAGGUUGUGCUGCAGCGAAGUGUAGCCCUUUUAUGUUACGCGGAUUUGCUUGCCUGAAGUGUAGUGAAUUUGGGCAAUCCCUGAUAAGUCACCAAAGACUGAUGCAAUGAACAUGCAAUCACUCUGCCAAACUGCCAGAGAAUAGUUACUCAUGAUUGCUGAGAGAUUAUGAGGGUGCUAAAGCCAGGUGGGCUCUGUGUGUUUGUGGAACACGUAGCAGCAGAAGAUGGAACAAUUCGGAGAUUUUUCCAAGGGAUUCUUGAUCCUUUGCAGCAGUUUGUUGCUGAUGGCUGUCACUUCACUAGAAAAACUGGAGAAGUUAUUGCUAAAGCGGUCUUCUCAUCUGUUGAACUUCAGCGGGCAUUUGUGUCUUCUGCCUCAAUAGCAAAUCCUCAGGUUUAUGGGAUAGCUCGCAAGUAGCCUAGAUUAAUGUUAUGCCACAUAAAAUAUUCCUGCUGCAAACCUUGGAAUAAUUAUUUGAAUACUGAGUGUGUCUAGUGUAUUUGGAUAGAGUAUCAUUUGAAAUAUUAUUUAAAAUAAUUAAUGUAGCACUUUUUGUGA